GCCAGCAGCCAUAUCACUCUGCAUCUCACAACUGGCAACCCACUGAAGCUAAGCAGGUCUGAGCCUGGUUAGUACCUGCAUGAGAGACCUCCUAGGAAAAACUAAGGUUUCUGCUGGAA
rfam:Lepisosteus oculatus linkage group LG7, whole genome shotgun sequence.